rnacentral:rRNA from 1 species
UACGUAGGGUGCAAGCGUUGUCCGGAAUUAUUGGGCGUAAAAGAGCUCGUAGGUGGCCUGUCGCGUCGGCUGUGAAAACUCGGGGCUCAACUCCGAGCUUGCAGUCGAUACGGGCAGGCUAGAGUUCGGCAGGGGAGACUGGAAUUCCUGGUGUAGCGGUGAAAUGCGCAGAUAUCAGGAGGAACACCGGUGGCGAAGGCGGGUCUCUGGGCCGAUACUGACACUGAGGAGCGAAAGCGUGGGGAGCGAACAGG